CAGUCGCCACGGUAAUACGAAGGGUGCAAGCGUUACUCGGAAUUACUGGGCGUAAAGCGUGCGUAGGUGGUGGUUUAAGUCCGUUGUGAAAGCCCUGGGCUCAACCUGGGAAUUGCAGUGGAUACUGGGUCACUAGAGUGUGGUAGAGGAUAGUGGAAUUUCCGGUGUAGCAGUGAAAUGCGUAGAGAUCGGAAGGAACAUUUGUGGCGAAGGCGACUAUCUGGGCCAACACUGACACUGAGGCACGAAAGCGUGGGGAGCAAACAGGAUUAGAGACCCGUGUAGUCCCUGUCUCUUAUAA
rnacentral:rRNA from 1 species